rnacentral:sRNA from 1 species
GCUACGUGUGCGUCGAUCUCAUCGUGUAUUCCGCUACGAGCUUGGAGAAGAGAGACGACUUGUCCUCCAGUAGCCUGGUCGGCGUGUCGCGCUCCACGGCCACACCUGCAAAAGCAUUGGCACGGUGUUUCGGUCGUCAGACAGACGCGACAAACCCAUACAAUAUGUAAGAUAAAUUGGGAUUGGUUAGUUGGAACUGUGGCGAACUAAACUCACCGUUGUCAAGGAGCAAGACCAUGUCGCUGUCAAGGACGGAGGUGAUCCGGUGCGCGAUUGUGAUGACCGUCGCGUCGGAAAACUGCUGCCUGAGAGUUUUCUGGAUGAGGUUGUCCGUGGCGGUGUCGACGGAGGCCGUGGCCUCGUCGAGCACCAGGAUCUUGCUCCGUUUCAGGAUCACCCUCCCAAGGCACACCAGCUGACGCUGACCCACGCUCCAGUUCUCGCCGUUCUCUAUCACUGCAACCAAGCCAAGCCAAGCCAAAUCGGGAGAAUAUUCACCAAGAAUUACCAAGUGUAAAAGUAGACUUUGAACUGCAUGAUUCUGAACAGGAAAAAGAAAUGAGUCCAGAUGCAGAGAACCGAACGGACCUGGUGAAUCAAGUCGCAGCUCCUUCCUCCUAACUUCAUCUCCUAGCUGACAGCGAUCCAAGGCCUGAAA